CGCCCACAUCCAACUCCGCCUUACGUCUAAAGCAACACCCACCUUACGUCCGUCACGAACGCCUACAUUUACUCCCGGUAAACAGGAAUUGUAGCCGAGAAAGCAGCUAAAGCAUCUAUCUGAUUUAUAUCUCCGGUUAUGGCGCAUCCAACACAUGUCCAGGCCACUCCUGACCCUUCACGGUUUGGCCAGUGUGGUGUUUUCAAAUGCCCCUGCUUCAGUUUUGACACUGACCAGCGAUUUAAUAACAGCCUACAUCUACAAAACCAUAUCAAUCAAGCAGUCGAGAAUAACGGAAAGUUCAGCGUGUUGAACGUGUGACUGAUGAAGGAGAUAGAAUGGGCAACGUCUCCUUUGAACAGAUGCCCCUUAUUCUCAUAGAUACAGUUCUGGAAGAGGGUGACAAAGCUUUUUUAAAGCUGUCACUGGUUUGUCGUCUCUUCCGGGACAUUGUUUGGACAACAAUCAUUCCGGGCCCGGGCACAUUUCGAGUGGCUUGACAGUGUAGUGCCAUGAAAACAUCACAGUGCUGCAUGUAAAGACGAGUUUCGCAGGAUGUACGAACUGCAGUGCUGCCAGAACUGUCAAGAAACUUAUAAAGACU